UUCACCUGCACUGUGGCCCACCCGGCCAGUAAGACCAAGGUGGACAAGCAAGUAAAGCCCAAACCAAAUGGCAUUGGCGGCUCCUGUAAGGAAUGUCCCAAAUGUCCAGUCCCUGAAACGCUGGGAGGACCUUCGGUCUUCAUCUUCCCCCCCAAACCCAAGGACACCCUCUCGAUUACCCGAACCCCCGAAGUCACAUGCGUGGUGGUGGACCUGGAAGACCCUGAGGUCCAGAUCAGCUGGUUCAUGGGUGACCAGGAGGUGCACACAGCCAAUACGAAGAAGCCUGAGGAGCAGUUCAACAGCACCUACCGUGUGGUCAGUGUCCUCCCCAUCGUGCACCAGGACUGGCUCAAGGGGAAGGAGUUCAAAUGCAAGGUCAACAGCAAAGCCCUCCCAUCCCCCAUCCAGAGGACCAUCUCCAAGGCCAGAGGGCAGGCCCAUCAGCCCAAUGUGUACGUCCUGCCCCCAUCCCGGGACGAGAUGAACAAGAACACAGUCAGCGUGACCUGCCUGGUCAAAGACUUCUACCCAUCUGAGGUUGAUGUCGAGUGGCAGAGCAAUGGCCAGCAGAUGCCAGAAAGCAGUAUCCGAACAACCCCACCCCAGCUGGAUGCAGAUGGGACCUACUUCCUCUACAGCAAGCUCUCAGUGGACAAGAACCGAUGGCAGCGGGGAGAGGUCAUCACGUGUGUGGUCAUGCAUGAAGCUCUAGUGAAGUGGAUCUUCUCCUCGGUGGUGGAGCUGAAGCGCACGAUCGUGCCCGACUAUAGGAACAUGAUCGGGCAGGGGGCCUAG